rnacentral:rRNA from 1 species
AGCAGCCGCGGUAAUUCCAGCUCCAAUAGCGUAUAUUAAAGUUGUUGCAGUUAAAAAGCUCGUAGUUGAACUUCGGGAUUAAUUUAUUGGUCGUGCUAUUGUACGUACUGGUAUUAUUGAUUCCUACCUUCUGACGAACCAUGAUGUCAUUAAUUUGGUGUUAUGGGAAGUUAGGACUGUUACUUUGAAAAAAU